GCCAAAUGCCCUCCGACCUCUGACAACAGCUCUGAGCUCUAUGAGAAGCUGAACCCUGCGCCUAAAUGCUGAAGUCAGCGCCCUGCACACAGUUUAUGGAUAAAUAUUUCACUGGAUCAAGAAGUGGUGCCUCCACACUCUCCUCCAUAAACUGUGAACUCAUCACUUAUUCAUCAUUCAUAUCAUAAAGUGGUUGAAUCUAGCUGUAGAUGCUCAUCGAUUGGAACACAAAGAAAACUAGGAGCAAACAUCAGUGGUGACGUUAAAUGAUUUGGAUCGUUUAGUUUCAACUUAACAAAAUGUAAUUUCCUCUGAUGAGAUUAAAUCAAAUGAGGAAGAUUAUUGUUGGAGAUCUUAGAACAAUGAAAGCAUCACAGCACUCUGCACACACAAAGAUUUGUGUUCAUCUAAAACAAAUCCUCCAUAUUUACACUUUAAUGCUUCUGCUGUUGGGUUUCUGGUUCAAUCAAUAUUGGUAACACAAAUGUAAG